rnacentral:rRNA from 1 species
CAGAGGAGCCAAGCGUUGUCCGGAUUGACUGGGCGUAAAGCGCACGCAGGCGGAUGCGCGCGUGGGGUGUGAAAUCUGGCCGCUUAAUGGCCAGGCGCCAUCCCAUACGGCGCGUCUGGAGCCUUGCAGAGGUCGGUGGAAUUGCCGGUGUAGUGGUGAAAUGCGUAGAGAUCGGCAGGAACACCCAGGGGGAAACCAGCCGACUGGGCAAGUGCUGACGCUGAGGUGCGAGAGCGUGGGGAGCGAACCGGAUUAGAUACCCGGGUAGUCCACGCCGUAAACGAUGGCCACUCGGCCUUUGGGGGCGGAAUCUCCGUCCGUGGGGGCCUUAGCAAACGCGGGAAGUGGCCCGCCUGGGAAGUACGGCCGCAAGGCUA